ACUUCACACAUAAUGAGAAAAAAAAGUAAUUCUGAGACAUGAAGUUGGUAUGUAUUUUUUUUCCCCAUUUUUAUUGAUUUACUGAGAGGUGUUGGUUUAUAUACUGGAACUCUACUUCCUUUAAUCAUAAGGAGUUUAUUCUGCUGAAGCAAAUUACUUUCUUCAGCCUACAAACCUGCAUCUCUUUAACAACACCACAUAAACAAUUUUUAUUGUUUUCUGUUCCUGAACAUGACAAUCCUUUUCCUAAAGCCCACAUGUGCUAUACUUUUUGUCCUGUUCUUCAUGUGAUUUUCAAACCAGCUUAGUUGCUCUGGGAAAUAGGUCAAGGCUAUGGUCAAUGCUAUGUUGCUGCUCAGGUGUUAGUCUAUGCAGUGUCAAGAAAAGCUAUUCUAUAGGGCCAGCCUGGAUUAAAUAGCAGGCGAAGGACACAGGCAUUAUUAGCAGCAGCUCCAGUGUCAAAGUAUUUCUGUGUGCAUCUCAGGCAGCGAAGCCUUAGGCAGAAGGCAGCCUCCAGAGAAAGUAUGGGAUGAGGUUUCUAUUUUGUCAUUUAAGUAAUUAAUAGAUGGGUCGGUCAUUCUGCAUAGCUAGGCCUCCUGGUUUGCUUUAGAUCUCCUUCUGCGAGCCUUUAAGGUAACAAUUCAGGGAGGAAACCAGGCAGCCUUCCCUGGAAAAGCUAGGUGAGAAAUGUUUGUGAGGGUGUGUGAGACAGGUGCUUGCCAUUUGGUUAUUGCUCAAUAAUGCUGAAGCCUGUUUGAAACCUCCUCUCCUUUCCAGAGCUCCUUAAAGAGAAGGCAAAGGUAGGCCUGUUGUAACACAUCUGAUCAAUUUGUGGUUUUGUUAUGUGCUUUCAAAAUCUUUAUACAAGUGAAAAAAUGCUGAUGAAUGCUCCUAUUUUCCACUGAGUACUUACUGCCUUACAAACCAACACAAGACGCCAGAAUUCUUGAAAGUUCUAUGAAUUCAAAAGCAGUCAUUGUGCUGAGCAUAGUACAUAAAACACAAGGGGAAUUGGAGGAUAACCGAAACUUUUCUUUUCCACUUAAGUUAAUGUGUAGAAUGUGUUCCUACAUGGAGAUGUGAUACAAUAAAAUUAAAUGGCUUUAAACCUAUAUCUAAAAC
rnacentral:lncRNA from 1 species